rnacentral:misc_RNA from 1 species
GAAUUACAGACAUUGAAAGAAGCUUGUGAGGCUGCCCUUGAACAAAAAUACUUUCUUGACCAAUCUGAACUUGAAGGGUUCGUAGAUGAAGCCGAAAUUGCUCAUCGGAAACAAUUAAAAUCACUAAGAACUGUGUUCGAAAAAGUUGCCGAGGCAGAUGCGCCGUCUGAGGUGCCUGACUAUCUCUGUUGUAAAAUCACGCUCGAUAUUCU